UGGGGAUAGUCAGCUUGCGGUGGGAGGAA
rnacentral:piRNA from 1 species